UAGAAAUGCAAAGCCAUGUUCAUGAGAUAAGGAGAAGAUCAGCCUGAUUCAGUGGGGAACUGAAGUUAUGAAGCUUCAAAUUAGGUGUUUAGACAGGUGGUGACAGAUUGUGAAGAGCUUGAACAUCUGGCUGAAAUGUUUGGACUGUCGCGUGGAGAAGGGGAAAGGCUUAGGAACCGGGCGAAGGUGAGACCCCAAUCUUUUCCUGCCUUUGGACUCAGCCUCAGACUGGAAUUUGAACCCAUUGGCUCUCCUGGGUAUCCAGCUUGCUGACUGCAGAUCUUGGGACUUCUCAGCCUCCAUAAUUGUAGAGCUCAGCCAUGUGGCUGCACCUAAAUCCAGAGAAGCAGGAAAACUCAAGCCCUGGCUGGGCAGCCACUUCCUAGUGACAAUGGUACACCGGGAAAGAAGAACACAGAUUUUUCUGUGAGCAGUGAGCUGACUCUGCCACAGGAAGUAUGGGC
rnacentral:lncRNA from 1 species